rnacentral:tRNA from 1 species
UGCCUCGUAGCCAAGCGGUAAGGCACCACACUUUGACUGUGGCAUUUCGCUAGUUCGAAUCUAGCCGAGGCAGCCA